rnacentral:rRNA from 1 species
CUGGCUCAGGAUGAACGCUGGCGGCAUGCCUUACACAUGCAAGUCGAACGGCAGCACGGACUUCGGUCUGGUGGCGAGUGGCGAACGGGUGAGUAAUGUAUCGGAACGUACCUUUCAGUGGGGGAUAACGUAGCGAAAGUUACGCUAAUACCGCAUAUUCUGUGAGCAGGAAAGCAGGGGAUCGCAAGACCUUGCGCUGAUUGAGCGGCCGAUAUCAGAUUAGCUAGUUGGUGGGGUAAAGGCCUACCAAGGCUACGAUCUGUAGCGGGUCUGAGAGGAUGAUCCGCCACACUGGAACUGAGACACGGUCCAGACUCCUACGGGAGGCAGCAGUGGGGAAUUUUGGACAAUGGGGGCAACCCUGAUCCAGCCAUGCCGCGUGAGUGAAGAAGGCCUUCGGGUUGUAAAG